AUAUAGUUUAGAUAUUGACCUCUUGUCAGAUGCAUAGGUUGCCCGUAUUUUCUUUCAUUGUGUAGGUUGUAUUUUCACUCUGUUGAUUGUUUCCUUUGCUAUGCAGAAGCUUUUUAGUUGGAGGUGAACUCAUUUGUCUAUGUUUGCUUUUAUUGUCUGUGUUGUUGACACCUUUUCCAA